CUCUUUACUUAAAAUAUAUCACUUUUUACAUAACAAUAUAUUUUAAGUAAAACAAUAGCAAUUUAUUUGGGUAGCUUUUUGUAUGAGUUUGUUGUGUACAAGAAAUGUUAUAAAAGUGAGUUGAAAUACACAAUUUAUUUGAGCAGCUGUCGAUGUGGCAUGUGUGUUCAUCAAACUUAAAUAUUUGAAAUAAAAAACACAUAAAAAUUAAGUUGGAUUUAUCCCUUUUUCACUGGCGGGGACUUUCCAAGGCAGAUGCUUCCUCGGCACUUCAACUGUUUGAAAGCUGCAGCGGAUCUAAAUUUCACAGACUGAUUAACACGUCUCCGGUGGGGCAUGCAGCUGUCGUGGGGUCCUCGUGUUAUCAGCAGCAGAGUUGUAACCAAGCGUUUUUGUUACCUGGGGUCUUCAGAUACAGGAUCCGUCUGGCUAUGUGGAGAAAAGGAGAGAAGUGGUACUGAGAUGCCUGAUUGAGUACAUAUGGGAGGGAAAGGAAGACCUCAUCAGUGUCCACCAUAGUCAUGAUGAAACAGAGGUGCACGCUGAGCUUGGCAGUUCCCCACUGAAAAUAUACACGUGCCAUCAGCCAAACACGAUUGGGAUUAUCACAGUAGAAGGACAGCCCAUGGUCAGAGGUGUGCCAAACCUGUAGAAAACCUCCUGUUUGGACUUGUCUAUGCCCACAACCUCUAAUAUCACUCAAAUCUGGUGUAUACUUCUGAGAUAUAUCACAGGCUCUUUGUGGGAUUGGACCCUAUGCAUACUUUUGUAUGUUUUGUAGGCACUGUUAAAAGUGACACUAGUUGACAUUGAAUAAAUGUUAUUGUCUUUAA